GUAAAAGCCUCAACUUCCAGCAGAUUCUUCUUUAAUAAGACUCGUCAGAGUAUAUGCUUGGCAAUGGGAGAAGACCUACAUUUCAAAUACUGUGGGAACCGGUACCUGUAGGCAAAGGGUUUACAGUAAACCCAGCACAAGGCUCUGCGAGACACACUGCUGUCGUGGAAACGGGGGCAGAGAAAGACUCAUGAAAUCCUGAGCUUGUAACAGCGACUGCAGUGCCUUCGUGACCUUCUGUGUGCAAGUUUCCAAGGAAAAGAAUAGCUUUUCUUCAAAGCCUCACCAUCAGAACGGCAUCAGAGCAGAAGGGGCCCAGCCUUAGAAAUCCCAUUUGAGAGCCAGCGUGGAGUCCUGUGGCUGUUUUCUACUGCAAACUGAUGUAUCCUGGGUCAUUAUGCUAAUCACAGUGAUUAAAUGACUAUAUACUUCACUUGGUGCCACACUCCUAUAAUUCUAACUCCUGGGGCAGCUGAAGCAGGAAGAUCAGGCCCCGGAAUUCAAGGCCAGUCUGGGCAGCACAAUAACAUUAUGUCUCUAAAACAAAAAUAAAACUGUUGAAAAUUUUUUCUCAGCUCUAGUAUUACAACAUACCUAGAAGUCAUUCAUUUUUUUCAGUUUUGAUCCUGGUAAGUGCUCACUCAAAUUGUGGUCCAUUUAAAACAGCAGUGGUGUGGUAUGA
ensembl:lncRNA